CACCAAAGGAGGGCCUUGCCAAGUACACAGGCAACUGAAACAGGUGAUGUCAAUAAGCUGCCAAUAGUUAAGCUAAGGAAGGAAUAUUGCAGGUGAGCUAGAUGGACCAGUGGUCUGGCUUAAUAUACGUCAUGUCCUAUGCACCUAUGGAACUUCAGCAUAAGGACUUGCCAAUUUACUUUAAUGAAGGGAGAAGCUCCAGUCUCUCCAUUCUGUGGCUACGAAUGAGGAAGCCCUUGCAGACAUAAACAUUUAUUGUGUGCACUGGAACCCAGUAAAUGGAAAUAACUGUGGGACUGUGAUGACUGAUUCAAUUACCAAAGGGAAAAUGUUGUUUGUAUAAACACGCAGGAAGCCUGAUGCUUGGGUUUACUUUUGUCCACAGAUGUAUCACUGUACCAUGAUUUAGCUAAUAUUAAAAAUACACACAUAGCAAAGUCUUAAAGAGGUCACAGAUCAAUUAUGCCUUGAUCUGCUUUCUUCUGAACUAAGUCAGGAUGGGCAGGUAACCUGGAUCUGAGAUAGUAAUCUAUACUAGGGGCUUAGGUUCCUAUAGCAAACUAAUGCAACAACAUACUGAAGAGCCAUUUGCAAUAUCUCUGUGAUGCAGCCAAGCCAGCAUAUAAUGUGGAGUAAAUGUUGUUUAGUAAAAGAAUGAACACUGAUAAAUGUCUGGCCAUUAAGGUCAGCCCAUGGAGAAUGAAACAAGAAACUGCUGUGAAGAGGGAAAUAGAGGCGAGGGAGGAGGGAAAAGUUUAAAAUUCAGCACCAUGGACAGUAGCACUCACAUUUUGGUAUAAUGGAGUUUGCACAAAGCUUAAUUUUCAGUCUUACAUGCUGAAGCACCAUAAUACAACAGUUAUUUUAAGCCUCUUGGAGCUUUUCUAAACUCUUUGUGUGCCGAGUGCUUGCCACACGCCCACCUGUUUUCAAUGAUUUGGGCGGGGGGGGGGGUAGAGAAAUGGAAAGAAUUCUUUGCAAGAGCACUCAACAAAAUGACAGGUUUAAUAAUCUGCACUUAGACAGCACUUUUCAUCCAAGGGUCUCAGAGAUCUUUAUAAAUAUUCAUGCACUUUAUACAUAUUUUCAGCCAAUGUACCCUCCCUUUCCUCCAUCCCAAACAAGUAAAUAUACCCCAAUUCCCCUUUUGCAGAUCUGGAAAGGCAGACUCAAAAUUCAGGGAAAGUGAAAUUUAAAGGGCAACCCUCUGUAUAUCUAUUGAGCAGUAUGUCCCAUUGAGUUCAGUGGGACACUUGGUCACAGGCAAAUGUAUACAGGAUUGUAUCCUCAGAGUGACAAAGCAAUUCUUCUGGAGUCACAAUAAAGGGUCAGCUAUAAACAGAAACAGAAAUAGGGUGGGAGAUAAGAAAAUAGGCUUUUUCUUUUUACCAGUAGUUGGCAAUCAUUGGGACAUGUAGUGUGUAAUAUUGUGGCUUUUAUGUAAUGUCAGCAAUCAAUGCACAGUUUUAUCAGUAACUCUUUAUAGCAGACUUUAAUGUGCAGCUUUGAAAUCUUGUAGUUCUAGGUUGCAUAGGAAGCUGCUAUAUACAGUGUCAGAUUAUUUGUUCAUCUAGCUCGGCAUCUACUCUGACUGGCAGUGGCUCUACCAGGUUUCAGGCAGAGGUCUUUCUCAUUUCUGCUCCCUGAUCCUUUUAAACUGCAUAUAUCAUGGACUGAACUGGGCAUGUUUUGCAUGCAAAGUGUGUGCUGUGCCACUAAGCUGUCUUUCCUCAUAGCUUCAUUGCCUUCCAGUCUCUUUCCCAGCUCAAUUCAAAGUGCUUUUCAUUAUUUUUAAAUCCCUAAACAGCUUAUAGCCAGGAUACUUAAAGGACCAUCACCUCCUACAUUAGCCUGCUGGUCCAUGCAAUGAGCUAGGAGACCCUAUAUGCACUGCUGUCAUCUGAUGUUUCGGAGUUGGGAACACAUGAAAGGGUAUUCUCUGUUGUUGCACCCUUCCCUGGGGGAUCCUUGGUGAUUUAUGUUUCAUCAGGUCAUUGACCUGAUUGAUAAUUGACCCUGGCUCCUUUAUGCACUGACUGAUCCAUUUAUCUGUUAUGCUUAUGUUUUCUAAGAGAGCACUGCAUAAGCGGUAAGACUGUCACACAAUUAAAUAGUUGGUUAAACACAUUAGUCAAAUUGGUCAACAGAUUAAAUGUGUACAAAUCUGCAUGUGCAUAAGUCCCAUGAUUUGUAAAUAAAAUGCGUUCUGAAUCAAUCUACUCAGAAGUAAGCCCAACUAGUUUCAAUGGGACUACAGCGUAAUCUGCAGAACUGCAAGUAUGCAAGUGCUCAGAGUGUUGCCUUCCCUUGGUGGUCAGACAGAAUCAUCACCAUCCUUUCUCCUUUCCAGGCUGACUCCUCCAAAAGCAAGACAAGGACCAGCAAUGGCACUCACACACACAAAAGUUCUAAGCCUCCAUGCCUGCAACUAAGUCAUACUCCCAGUUCUGUCAAGAAGAAGAAGAAGAGUUUGGAUUUGAUAUCCCGUCUUUCACUCCCUUUAAAGAGUCUCAAAGCGGCUCACAUUCUCCUUUCCCUUCCUCCAACAAACACUCUGUGAGGUGAGUGAGGCUGAGAGACUUCAGAGAAGUGUGACUGGCCCAAGGUCACCCAGCAGCUGCAUGUGGAGGAGCGGGGAAUCGAACCCGGUUCCCCAGAUUACGAGACUACCGCUCUUAACCACUACACCAUGCUAGCAACUGAGGAGUGGGCGGAAGAGAGAGGAAAAUGGAAGAUACCAAGAUGAGAGUGGGGGAAAUGGAAAAGGCUUCUUCUAAGAAGAUAUCCAAUUAAUUUGGAGAGAUUUGUAAUCAUUUCGAACAAGCAAAAGUAAUCAUUUAGACCAGAUGUUUUGGACUGCAACUCCCAUUACCUCCAACCAGGAUGUCUGUGCUGGCUGGGGAUGAUAGGAGUUGUAGUCCAAGACAUCUGGAGAGCAUCAGGAUGGCAAAGCCAUUUGAUCAAUUGAUUAAACAUCACAGCCCUAAUGAUAAUUUAUCCCUUUCCUUUGCUGGUAAUAUUGUGAUUAGGAUAUAUCAAUUCAGCACUAAGAAAAACCUGUUUAGGCAUGCACUCACAGCCUUGUUGACUUAAUCCUAGAAAUUCCUGUGAACAGAUUAUUAUUAAUUAGAAUUUAUCGACAGCCUCUUUAUUCCAAGUGGUAUCUUUAAAUUAAGCCAGUUUCAGAAUACCUAACUCUCUGGGCUAUAUUUUCUAUCUCCUUCAGUAUCAGGAUAAAUUCCCAAGGGAGAAAUAGAAUUGUUUCUUACAGUGAACAGGAUAGGAAAGGACGGCACUCAGAGACAGUGGCACUGUUUAAUCAGAUGCAGCAGACUUCUAACUUACUAUGGAAAAGGUGCACAGCCUUGCACAAUUCACUAUCUCUAAACCCUUAGUUCCCCAUCUGGAAAAUGAGAGUAAAAGUGACCUGCAUUACUAUUUUGUUGUAAAGUCAAGCAGGCCACAAUCCACUGGGAAGUUGUUCUGCACAAGUCCCCUUCCAAAAACAUUGUACGGUGACAUUGUGCAGCUCCUAUUUAUUUCAAUGAAAUUUGCACAGAGGAGUCCCUGGUGGAUUGUGCCCACGGGGUGUGUGUGUUAUGCACAUUAAAAAGUGUCAUGGGCCUGGAAAGGAUGUGAAAGCCACAUAAAUGCAUCCUCGGGGCAAAAUGGCAGAACAACGAAAGCUUUGAUGGAUUUAUGCUGUGAAACAAACUCUUUAACAUUCACUGUUCUUCACAAAAGCUACCCUUCAACGUGGACUUUGUCUCUGCUGCCUUGCCUAAGGCAGGCUGCCCAGCUUUUAUCCAUUAAUGUUCAUUGCAGAAUCUCAACCCCUUUAAGAAGUGGCAGAGAGCUUGUAAAUCCUGCCAUCCGAUGAGCUGUGCUGUUGCAGUGUGUCAACUCAAUGUGUGGAAGGGAAAACAGAUGUGCUAAGUAGAGGGUGGGUUUUUUUCUCCUUGUUUACUGUGUGGUUUAUCUCCUCUUCAGUCUUCCUCUUUCUGUUUAAAUAUUUGAUGUCAUUUUGUUUAUUUCUGUGACAAAUGAUUUGGGGUUUCAUUUCCAGAAACAGAAAAGUGUCAGCAAUGCCAGCAUUGCUGGGGCAUCUGUUCCUUGCUAUUAAUUAGUCCCUUUCCCUGCUUGCUUGCCUCCUAAAAACAGAGAUGCCUACAUCAUGUAACUGUCAUUUAUUUGUAGCAGCAGAUCCAUUUCCUUGAGACUGUCUCUCUGGCUGCUUUUCAGUGCCUACUUGUGUCCAGUCUCAGUGAAAAGUUUGUGGAAUUUGAAGCCACAAGAUGUGAUGGUGCUCACAAGCUUAAAAAUGGACUUCGAUAGAUGCACCAAGGAUAACCAAGCAAUCUGCUGGUUGGGAAUCUGAAGGCCCUGGGCUUCAUCCCGGUCCACCAACAAUAGUUCUCUAGCACCCAAACCAUUGGAACAUAGGAAGCUGCAGUGUACUGAGUGGGAAUAUUGGUCCACCUAACUCAGUGUCAUCUUGUAGCAGCUCUCCAGUAUUUAAGACAGAGACUCCCUCCCUGGCUUACAGAUAUUGAACCUGGGACCUUCUCAAUGCAAAGUAGAUGCUCUAUCACUUAAGUACAGCCCUUACCCAAUUGUUUUUUGGAGGUCACAAAAAGCAUGUUAGGGGUUGUGAUUAUGUUCCUACUUCAUUCCUUCCCACUGGAAUUAGUUAGAAGGAAAUUACUUACACAAGGGCAGGCGCGUGGCAUGUUUUGGGUGAC
rnacentral:lncRNA from 1 species